GACGAAGGUGGCAAGCGUUGUUCGGAAUCACUGGGCUUAAAGCGCACGUAGGCGGCUCAUCAAGUGUCUUGUGAAAUCCCUCGGCUCAACCGAGGAAUUGCUGGGCAUACUGAUUGGGCUUGAGGCAGGUAGAGGUGAGUGGAACUCUUGGUGGAGCGGUGGAAUGCGUAGAUAUCAAGAGGAACGCCGGAGGUGAAGACGAUUCACUAGGCCUGUCCUGACGCUGAGGUGCGAAAGCCAGGGGAGCAAACGGG
rnacentral:rRNA from 1 species